rnacentral:rRNA from 1 species
CCAGACUCCUACGGGAGGCAGCAGUGGGGAAUAUUGCACAAUGGGCGCAAGCCUGAUGCAGCGACGCCGCGUGAGCGAAGAAGUAUUUCGGUAUGUAAAGCUCUAUCAGCAGGGAAGAAAAUGACGGUACCUGACUAAGAAGCUCCGGCUAAAUACGUGCCAGCAGCCGCGGUAAUACGUAUGGAGCAAGCGUUAUCCGGAAUUACUGGGUGUAAAGGGAGCGUAGACGGAUGUGCAAGUCUGAUGUGAAAGGCGGGGGCUCAACCCCUGGACUGCAUUGGAAACUGUAAAUCUUGAGUGCCGGAGAGGUAAGCGGAAUUCCUAGUGUAGCGGUGAAAUGCGUAGAUAUUAGGAGGAACACCAGUGGCGAAGGCGGCUUACUGGACGGUAACUGACGUUGAGGCUCGAAAGCGUGGGGAGCAAACAGGAUUAGAUACCCCAGUA